rnacentral:snRNA from 1 species
GGCUGCGAGGGCAAUCUGGCUGUGACAUCUGUCAUCCCAUUGAUCGCCAGGGUUUGAUUCUGCUGAUCUGGCUGGCUAGGCGGGUGUCCCCUUCCUCUCGCACCUCUCCAUGUGUGUCCCUCCCGAAGCUGCACGCUCGGUCGAAGAGGACGACCUUCCCCAAUAGAGGAGGACCAUUCUCCGGUCAAGGGUAUACGAGAAGCUGCUCUCCCCUGUUAGAACCUCCAAGGUAGUCUGGGAGGAGUUACCCUAGUACAGUAGGAUUCAGUGAACAAGUGGUCACCGGAGGUCACAUUCAUUGGCCUUCAGGU